rnacentral:rRNA from 1 species
CCUACGGGUGGCAGCAGUGGGGAAUAUUGGACAAUGGGCGCAAGCCUGAUCCAGCAAUGCCGCGUGAGUGAUGAAGGCCUUCGGGUUGUAAAGCUCUUUCGCCCGCGACGAUGAUGACGGUAGCGGGAGAAGAAGCCCCGGCUAACUUCGUGCCAGCAGCCGCGGUAAUACGAAGGGGGCGAGCGUUGUUCGGAAUCACUGGGCGUAAAGGGCGCGUAGGCGGCCCUCCUUGUCGCGUGUGAAAGCCCCGGGCUCAACCUGGGAACGGCGCGCGAGACGGGGGGGCUGGAGUUCGGGAGAGGAGCGUGGAAUUCCCAGUGUAGAGGUGAAAUUCGUAGAUAUUGGGAAGAACACCGGUGGCGAAGGCGGCGCUCUGGACCGAGACUGACGCUGAGGCGCGAAAGCGUGGGGAGCAAACAGGAUUAGAUACCCUAGUAGUC